GGUUCAGGAGGGUUCCAGGAAAAGAAACAGGAUUCGCUACUUGCGGCUUGUGGCAGGCGCAGACUAGAAGCUGCAAAAAGUCUUCAGAGAACUUUUGCAAACUUAACUACGCCCUCCGCGGACUUUGGACAUGCUAAUUUCGAUGGGACUGUUGAAGAGCCAGUGGGGCAAAGCUAAGGACCUCUGUCAGGGAGGUCCCGACCGGCCCUCAGUGGACGUCCUUGGGGGGCAUCCAGAUCUUUUUCAGUCCACCCUGGAGGCAGCCCCUGCGGGUCCCCCAGCACACACACACACACCGAGGAUCGCCAGGGCAACCCAGCAUCCCCGGUGUCCCGAGAGCAGGAGGAUGGACCAGGGGCCGCGGGGGGCAGCGCCGGCCCCUUUCUAGAACCCGGCCCCGCCCGCCUGGCCGCUGCCCUCCGGGAUCGCCCCCGGCCUCGGCCGGCCUCCGCCUGUCCCCCCGCCACCCGCUCGCGGCCCGGGCCGAGUACCUUGAAAGCGAUGGGCAGGGUCUUGUUGCAGCGCCAGUGCGUGGGCAACACGGAGCAGAGGAAGUUGGGGCUGUCGGUGCGCACCAGCUCGCCGGGGUGGUCGGCCAGCACCUCCACCAUGCUGCGGUCGCCGCUCCUCAGCUUGCCGGCCAGGGCGGCGCCGGCGUCCGGGGCGCCCAGCGGCAGCGCCUCGCUCAUCUUGCCCGGGCUCAGCGCGGUGGAAGGCGGCGUGAAGCGGCGGCUCGUGCUGGCAUCUACGGGGAUACGCAUCACAACAAGCCGAUUGAGUUAGGACCCUGCAAACAGCUCCUACCAGACGGCGACAGGGGCGCGGAUCUUCGGCGAGCAGCUCCAGGGAGACCAACAUACAAGUUCAGGGGCCUUUAUUGCUGCGGGUGGGGGGAGGGGGACUGGGGGAGGCGGGAGACCAAGUUACUAACAGUCCAGGAGGGGGAAAGUUCUAUUAUGCCGGCCAGCCUCAGACCCGGCAGGGCUCCUAGCAACCGACCGGUUAGUGCUUUAAAAAUUGGGCGACUAGAAUCCAGAGUCAAAUGCCAAGGGAGACUAUCUUCUGAGUCUUGCUUUGAGAGUUUAACUUCAGUCUUUGGCUGUUAAAGAAAGUUCCCGGAGGCAAAAUUCCCAUACGCUUUCUAAAACAUUUAUACGGAGAGCGAAAAGACCAGCAAAUACAUAAUUUGGAAGUUCCAGUAGGUAAUCGCCUGUCAGUUUUUUGUUUUUUUUUUUUUUUUACUUGUUUGCUUUUGCGGGUGAGUUUUGUCUAAAGUCCUAAUACGACACAAAAUAUACGAGUGUCUUCCAUAUACAGAGCCACUCUCACAUGCAAAACUGGCUUCGGUCCU